rnacentral:rRNA from 1 species
AUUGAACGCUGGCGGCAGGCCUAACACAUGCAAGUCGAACGAGUGGCGGACGGGUGAGUAAUGUCUGGGAAACUGCCUGAUGGAGGGGGAUAACUACUGGAAACGGUAGCUAAUACCGCAUACCAUCAGAUGUGCCCAGGGGGGCUUAGCUAGUUGGUGGGGUAACGGCUCACCAAGGCGACGAUCCCUAGCUGGUCUGCGAGGAUGACCAGCCAACAUGGAACGGGGACACGGUCCAGACUCCUCUGGGAGGCAGCAGUGGGGAAUAUUGCACAAUGGGCGCAAGCCUGAUGCAGCCAUGCCGCGUGUAUGAAGAAGGCCUUCGGGUUGUAAAGUACUUUCAGCGGGGAGGCGUUACCCGCAGAAGAAGCACCGGCUAACUCCGUGCCAGCAGCCGCGGUAAUUC